GACAUAGGUGGCGAACGUUAUCCGGAAUUAUUGGGCGUAAAGGAUGCGUAGAUAGCAGAAUAAGUUAUUGGUCGAUAUCAAACUCAAUUUGGUGGAAGCUGAUAAUACUGCUCUGCUAGAGGACAGAAGAGGUUGAUGGAACUCUAUGUGUAGGGGUGAAAUCCGUUGAUCUAUAGAGGAACACCAAAUGGCGAAGGCAAUCAACUAUUUCUGUUCCUGAACAUUUGAGGCAAUGGAAAGCGUGGGUAGCAAACCGG
rnacentral:rRNA from 1 species